rnacentral:lncRNA from 1 species
CCUCAUUCGAGUAUUGAAAAUGGCACAACUAGUUUUGUGCCUUUCAACGUCGUCAGGCAUGCCAAAGGAGUCGUUCAACAUUUGAAGCAUCUCCUGUGACUGGGCGUUCUCAAACCUUCGGCUGAACUCGUCAUUCAUUGCUGCCAGCAUAAUACAUCGAACGGUAGUGCGGUCAUUGAGCCACUUCAAGUAAGUGUCUCGGAUCGCCUUACUAGCGUUCGAAGCUGGCUCCUCAGGUGCUGGAUCCGUUACUACAUAAAGGAUCUGCUCAUGCUCAA